rfam:Lutispora thermophila DSM 19022 genome assembly, contig: EJ66DRAFT_scaffold00044.44
UGCGACAAAGGUAAACUUAGCGAAAGCUAAAGACGCAAAGCUAUGGGCCUAACAGAUUAUGCUGAUGGUUGCCAAGCUGCCGAAA